rnacentral:rRNA from 1 species
GACUGCGUACCUUUUGUAUAAUGGGUCAGCGACUUAUAUUCUGUAGCAAGGUUAACCGAAUAGGGGAGCCGAAGGGAAACCGAGUCUUAACUGGGCGUUAAGUUGCAGGGUAUAGACCCGAAACCCGGUGAUCUAGCCAUGGGCAGGUUGAAGGUUGGGUAACACUAACUGGAGGACCGAACCGACUAAUGUUGAAAAAUUAGCGGAUGACUUGUGGCUGGGGGUGAAAGGCCAAUCAAACCGGGAGAUAGCUGGUUCUCCCCGAAAGCUAUUUAGGUAGCGCCUCGUGAAUUCAUCUCCGGGGGUAGAGCACUGUUUCGGCAAGGGGGUCAUCCCGACUUACCAACCCGAUGCAAACUGCGAAUACCGGAGAAUGUUAUCACGGGAGACACACGGCGGGUGCUAACGUCCGUCGUGAAGAGGGAAACAACCCAGACCGCCAGCUAAGGUCCCAAAGUCAUGGUUAAGUGGGAAACGAUGUGGGAAGGCCCAGACAGCCAGGAUGUUGGCUUAGAAGCAGCCAUCAUUUAAAGAAAGCGUAAUAGCUCACUGGUCGAGUCGGCCUGCGCGGAAGAUGUAACGGGGCUAAACCAUGCACCGAAGCUGCGGCAGCGACGCUUAUGCGUUGUUGGGUAGGGGAGCGUUCUGUAAGCCUGCGAAGGUGUGCUGUGAGGCAUGCUGGAGGUAUCAGAAGUGCGAAUGCUGACAUAAGUAACGAUAAAGCGGGUGAAAAGCCCGCUCGCCGGAAGACCAAGGGUUCCUGUCCAACGUUAAUCGGGGCAGGGUGAGUCGACCCCUAAGGCGAGGCCGAAAGGCGUAGUCGAUGGGAAACAGGUUAAUAUUCCUGUACUUGGUGUUACUGCGAAGGGGGGACGGAGAAGGCUAUGUUGGCCGGGCGACGGUUGUCCCGGUUUAAGCGUGUAGGCUGGUUUUCCAGGCAAAUCCGGAAAAUCAAGGCUGAGGCGUGAUGACGAGGCACUACGGUGCUGAAGCAACAAAUGCCCUGCUUCCAGGAAAAGCCUCUAAGCAUCAGGUAACAUCAAAUCGUACCCCAAACCGACACAGGUGGUCAGGUAGAGAAUACCAAGGCGCUUGAGAGAACUCGGGUGAAGGAACUAGGCAAAAUGGUGCCGUAACUUCGGGAGAAGGCACGCUGAUAUGUAGGUGAAGCGACUUGCUCGUGGAGCUGAAAUCAGUCGAAGAUACCAGCUGGCUGCAACUGUUUAUUAAAAACACAGCACUGUGCAAACACGAAAGUGGACGUAUACGGUGUGACGCCUGCCCGGUGCCGGAAGGUUAAUUGAUGGGGUCAGCGCAAGCGAAGCUCUUGAUCGAAGCCCCGGUAAACGGCGGCCGUAACUAUAACGGUCCUAAGGUAGCGAAAUUCCUUGUCGGGUAAGUUCCGACCUGCACGAAUGGCGUAAUGAUGGCCAGGCUGUCUCCACCCGAGACUCAGUGAAAUUGAACUCGCUGUGAAGAUGCAGUGUACCCGCGGCAAGACGGAAAGACCCCGUGAACCUUUACUAUAGCUUGACACUGAACAUUGAGCCUUGAUGUGUAGGAUAGGUGGGAGGCUUUGAAGUGUGGACGCCAGUCUGCAUGGAGCCGACCUUGAAAUACCACCCUUUAAUGUUUGAUGUUCUAACGUGGACCCGUGAUCCGGGUUGCGGACAGUGUCUGGUGGGUAGUUUGACUGGGGCGGUCUCCUCCUAAAGAGUAACGGAGGAGCACGAAGGUUGGCUAAUCCUGGUCGGACAUCAGGAGGUUAGUGCAAUGGCAUAAGCCAGCUUGACUGCGAGCGUGACGGCGCGAGCAGGUGCGAAAGCAGGUCAUAGUGAUCCGGUGGUUCUGAAUGGAAGGGCCAUCGCUCAACGGAUAAAAGGUACUCCGGGGAUAACAGGCUGAUACCGCCCAAGAGUUCAUAUCGACGGCGGUGUUUGGCACCUCGAUGUCGGCUCAUCACAUCCUGGGGCUGAAGUAGGUCCCAAGGGUAUGGCUGUUCGCCAUUUAAAGUGGUACGCGAGCUGGGUUUAGAACGUCGUGAGACAGUUCGGUCCCUAUCUGCCGUGGGCGCUGGAGAACUGAGGGGGGCUGCUCCUAGUACGAGAGGACCGGAGUGGACGCAUCACUGGUGUUCGGGUUGUCAUGCCAAUGGCACUGCCCGGUAGCUAAAUGCGGAAGAGAUAAGUGCUGAAAGCAUCUAAGCACGAAACUUGCCCCGAGAUGAGUUCUCCCUGACUCCUUGAGAGUCCUGAAGGAACGUUGAAGACGACGACGUUGAUAGGCCGGGUGUGUAAGCGCAGCGAUGCGUUGAGCUAACCGGUACUAAUGAACCGUGAGG